ACGUAACACCUCACUACGCAAGACAGAGCGGGAUAACUCGAGAGUGUUAACUUGACUGCCGUGGAAUUAAAAGAGAGGUUAGAAAAUUGAGAAAAUUGCUUCUUGUCGCGAUUUGGGAAAGAAAAGAGACCUCGUGGCAGGUUUUGUGAUCGGAUUACUGAAACGCGUCGGCACGAGUUGACUUACAGCAGGAUGGCCCGUCACGUGUUUCCGCUCGUCCUGGUGGUCGUGGCUCUCGUCGUGAGGAUCAUACUCGCGGCGCCGUCGACCUCGGGAAACACGGCCAACGACAUCAACAGCAUAAGGACGUCGGAUGAGGACGUCAACGUCUCGGAGGCCAUCUUCAACUCCAUCGGCGUGAGACCCUGUCAGCGCCAUUGCUACAGACGAGACCAAACGGGCGAAUGUCGGCUCAACUUCUCCUGUUUCCUUGGCUUGAACUGAGCUCUUGAGUUACGCCGGGAUUCUUAGGGCUUGAAUAUUUUCGUUUACUUUUUUUCUGAGUGUCACUUUCUGUCUAUCUCUGUGUUUCUUUUCUCUUCUCUCUGUGGGGGGGGGGGACUUUUUGUUUGUAGCGGACUUUUUAUUCUCUUCAUUUAAUGCAGCAAUUAGGGUUGUUUUCACUUCUUGAUCUUUACUGUUGUUAUAAAUCCGUUUACGUUUUUCUUUUUCCCAUUUUCCCGUUGCCAAUUAUUUCUUACCUUUAUCUGAAAAUCCCGUUUUCAUCAGAAAAGUAUCUUUUGUCAUCAUUUGCCUUUCUUGUUUCUAAAACCACAAUAGAUGUUUCUUGAUAAUAUUAGUAUUUAGAAUGAAUAAAUUUCAACUGGAUUAGC